AGGUCAAGAAAUUUAAGAAAAUGUUGCAAAAAGUUGACAACAACUCUUGUACAGCUCAUCCUAUUGAAUCACAAGCAGUAGAGUCGCUUCGCCCCAUCUAUAAGUCAGCAUUGGAGAAAUUGAAAGAAAGUGUUGAAUCAUAAAA